rnacentral:hammerhead_ribozyme from 1 species
AUUCAGCUGACUGGUCCCAAAUAGGACGAAAUGCGUGUUCUGGAU